UACGUAGGGUCCAAGCGUUGUCCGGAUUUAUUGGGCGUAAAGAGCUCGUAGGCGGUUUCGUAAGUCGGAUGUGAAAACUCAGGGCUCAACCCGGAGACGCCAUCUGAUACUGCGAUGACUUGAGUCUGGUAGGGGAACACGGAAUUCCUGGUGUAGCGGUGAAAUGCGCAGAUAUCAGGAGGAACACCGGUGGCGAAGGCGGUUCUCUGGGCAUGUCCUGACGCUGAGGAGCGAAAGUGUGGGGAGCGAACAGG
rnacentral:rRNA from 1 species